UGUGUAAUACGUAAGGUGUUGAUUGCCUUAGCUUGUUUUACUGUAGAUUCUUUUUAAGGUUUGCCAGUAAGAAAUGAUGUUUUAAUAAUUCUGGCAAUCAUGUUAUCCUACUGUUAUUUAUUUUAGAGAAAACUUGUGUAUAACCAUGUGAGUGUUGAUCAAUUUGUGGGUAUCCACGUAAUAAUCACAAAGUUGUGCAUCACAGUAGUAACUGUGGUAUUGCUGCUGGCAAACAUUCAAGAGAUGAUGGUGUUUCUAACAGUGGUGUAGACUGGAGAAUACUGCAAGAAUCCAGGUAGAGUUGAUAGGUCCUGCGUUGACGAAACUGAGCAAGGUUAUUUGGAGGGUCCCGAGAGGAGAAGUAUGUCCAUAGUCACCUUUGUCAUAAUGUGUUUUUUGGGUUCCGGUCAAGAAAUCAUGGUAUGCCUCAUAAUGACCAUGAGCAGAACUUUGCUCGCAGCCAGGUUCAGGUUAAGACAUCAUGGGGAGUAUAUCCAUCGUGGUAAAUGAGGCACAUAGCAGGUAUGGAGGUAAGUGAUGAUGUGGGCCUGAAUCACAGCACAGAUCAUCUGAUUCUAUAUGCAGGUAAGGUAUUAUGGCCCUAACACUUCUUGUUACUAUGAUUUUGUUACAGGUGUUCAGGUAAGAGAUAGUCCUUACCAAAUCUAGUGACCUUGACUUUAUACGUUUCACAUUUUAGAGAUAAACGUUUAACCCUGUGAGUUUUGAGAGCUGAUUGUAUCCAUAACUGUUAAUUUCCCACCCCAGUAGUAACCACAGUGUAUUUGCAGGAAGUCUGCUUCAGACAUGAUGGCCUUCUUCUGAUGAAGGUGUUGACCUGAAUUGAUGCAAACGUCAAGGUAGAGUUGAUGUGCUCCAUAAUAAUGGAAGUGCAAAGGAUUGUCAGCAGGUGUCCUGGUAGAACAAGUCAUGUCCUUGAGCAUCUCUGUCCUAUGUGUCUCUUCAGUUUCUUCUGAAGAAAGUAUAGUCAGGGUGCCUGGGUGGCUCAGUUGGUUAGGCGACCGAUGUCAGCUCAGGUCAUGAUCUCACAUUUCGUGAGUUCGAGCCCUGCGUCGGACUCUGUGCUGACAGUUCAGAGCCUGGAGCCUGCUUCGGACUCUGUGUCUCCCUCUCUCUCUGCCCCUCCCCCACUUGUGCUCUGUCUCUCUCUCUCUCUCUCUGUCAAAAAUAAAUAAAACAUUAAAAAAAAUUUUUUUAAGUAAAAAAAAAUUUUUUUAAGAAACAUUAAUUUGACCCUAAUAAUACGAGUAAAAAUUAGAUUUUUAAUAUUCUUAUUUAGGGAUGAUGUAUAAUCCAAGUAACUUACUCUAUUACCGUCAUCAUUUUUAUCGACCUUGGAAAUUUUUUCAGGUGCCCGUUCAAGAGAAGUAGAUGUCUCUUCACAGGGUUUAUCCUUGGAGUUCUGCAAGUUAACGUCAAGACCUCACGGUGACUUUAUCAAUGAUAAUGAAUGUGGGACAUUGCUGGAAUGGAGGUAAGUGAUCCUGUGGGUCUAAACCACAGCACAUACCAUCCAGCUUUCAUACAUCGAGGUAAAUGCUGAGUGUCCUUACACUUCCUGUUACCAUGAAUUUUUUGAAGGUGUGCGGGUAAGAAAUGAUAGAGUCCUUACCAAUUCCAAAGACCCUGUUUCUCUGCUUUCUGUAUUUCAGGAAAUGUUCAUUUUUAACCCUCUGAGUGUUGAGGGACUGCACGUAUACAGGUAUUUAUCAUGAUAUUGCCCGUGAAAGUCCUACCCAUAGGCUAUUUGCAGGUGUCCAAUCAUAGAUUGAUGGUCUUAUCCGAUACUGGUAUUAACCUUGGAUUACUGUAAGUAUCCAGUAGAGUUGAUGUGUCUCAUGAUGAUGAAGUGAACACUGUUAUUUGCAGGUUUCCUGGUAGGAAAAAGCUAUGUCCUUCAACACACGCUCGUAAUGUCUUUCCAGCUUCCAGUCACGAAUUGAUGAAUCUAACAUUGCUCAUCAGUGGGGAUGUUCCUAGUGUGCAGGUAAGUGAUGACGUGGGCCUAGACCAGGCCAUCCGAUCUCCAUCUAGCUGGGUAAGUGAUGAAGGUUUCCCUAACAAUUGUUACCAUUUUUCUUUGCAAGUAUUCAGGUAGGAAAUAGUCCUUACCAAUUCUGGAAACCCUGAGUUUUUUCUUUUUAU